CCACCUCAUGGUGUCCGGAAGAUGCCAUGCACUGGUGCCACUGCAUCCUGCUGCCACGAGCUGUGUGCUUGCAGCAGCGUCACCUGAAGAGAUGAUUCCAAUGUCGAACACCUGAGCACGGCCCCUCUGUCCUCAACACUGUGCCCUGCCCUCCGGCUCCUGCCUUGGGAUUUGCUCCAAGAUGUUAUGUAACAGAAGUCACUGGGAGGUAAAAGCUGCUGCAGGGUGCCCAGCCCAUGGAAAAGGGAAUGGAGGGGCUGAGGGCAGCACUGGCACAUGUGUCCUGUGGCUCUGCGGUGGGCUUUGGCUCCAGGGCAUGGCAGUAAGCCAUGACCCAGGCAACUCCAGGCCUCUCUGGACUCUCGUGGAGGCUGUUGGACCCAGAGGUCAUCCUGACACCCUGCUCCAAGACAGCCGCUGGCUUCGGCAAUACACACGGUGAUGUUAAUUUUGAUUUGGAGUGUGCAGUAACGAGCAAGCAGUGUGAUUAAUGCAUAAAGCUGACAGAAUGCACAGGCAUCUUCAAAGAAGCAGAGUGUAAGAGGUCAAGAAGGGUGUGUGGGGUGAAAUGAUGUUUCAGAAGCAGAAAGCGUGCCUGGCUGACUCAUGAGCUGAACUGUGCAAUAAUCACAGGUAAUUAUUGCACACCAGCCAUCAGAGUAUCUGCAUGCACGCCACACCGACCUGCACCACAGUUCCCAUUUUGGCUCUGGCAUGCUCUGUUCACUGCUCAAAACAGAGAUGAGGAGUCAUUUCUACCCAGAGCCAAUAUUCAGGUUUUCUCCAUCCUGUCACAGAGGACACAUUGAGAUGUACCCUGC
ensembl:lncRNA